AUGCUAGGCGUGGGCUCGGUUACAUGGGCCAGUCGAGGCCCAUAUAAGAAAACAGCAAUUAUGACGGCCCAGCAGGAGUUGGACACGGAAGCGGAAGCCCAGCAGGAAUCGGUGGAAUCGAUCACAAAACAGAAGGAAGCAAUCGUGGUCUCUUCUCCCCAAUUGCCACCGGAAUUUCUAGACGCGUCCAAAAUCCUCCCGGCGGCUGGGCUUCUCGCCGUCCGUCGCCGCAGGGCGACGCGUGCACGGACGCUGUCGCCGAGGCCCGCACGGGCACCGAGGCUCUCCUCCUCUGCAGACAGCGUUUGCCUUUGCGGCUGGGCGAUGGAUUUGGGGACGGAGAAUCGCCUUGCGGCGUUGCUCCUCGAGGAGGCCCGGAGGCUGCGGAUGCAGGCGGAGAAGGAAGGGGUGCACGCCUAUCUGCAGAAACCUAAUGUGAGGCACCGCCCCAACUCGCGGUUCCUUGCCGCCACCGUUCUUGGCGUUCAGCAAGCAAAUCGAGUUGUGGAGGUUAAUGAGAUGUGGCGUGCCAGGGAGAAGGAACUGGAGCUGGAAUCAAAGAUGAAAACCAGAACCAAUGGUCGAAUUGACUCGAGAUCCCACAAACGGAAGAACGACUCAAGAGACCAGAGCCCUGUCUCUAAGACCCAGCGAGACAGACCGUAUGGCGCAUCAUUUUCGUCGAGGGAUUCACAUAGCAGUUCUUAUUCGGACUGGGAGGAUGGGCUAGGCGAUGAUGAAAUCGAAGAGUUUCUUCGAUCAAGGGUGAAGCGCGGACGAGGAGCCAUUGGUUCUAGAAUGGAUGAGCCUGGCCCAUACCUCAAGCCUCCAUCCGGUGGGCAAGACAAUUCAAUAAGUCCGGAUGCACGAGUGAAAGAAGAACGGAAGCGCCAAGUUUAUGGCCCAGAGAAGCCACUAUUUUUGAGAUCUAAGUCCUCAGACGAGGAGCCAUCCACCUCGAAGCACAAGCACAUUAAAGAAGAAAAGAACAAUAGCAGCAACCGCGAGAGAAAGGAGGAGAACAGGAGGUCCAAACAUCACCAUCGUGAACAUAAAAGCCAUGAAACUGAAGCCUACAAAUGA
rnacentral:rRNA from 1 species